UGAGGCCUUUGGGGGAGAGUGG
rnacentral:miRNA from 1 species